GUGCUGGCUUCAGCAGCACAUAUACUAAAAUUGGAGCAAUAAAGAGAAGAUUAGCAUGGCCCCUGCACAAGGAUGACACACAAAUUCAUGAAGUCUUCCAUAUAUAA
ensembl:snRNA U6 U6 spliceosomal RNA